UGAUAUGCAGUUAUUGGAGAAUGUGAAGCUUGGGGCUUUAAGGUUAGAUUAUCAA
rnacentral:tRNA from 1 species